ensembl:lncRNA
CAUAGAUCUUCUGUCUUCGCUGUGGCGUGUGCGAUCUGGUUCCUGACCAGGGAGAGAACCCGGCGCCCUGCGCUGGGAAAAUUCUUGACGAUAUUUGAGUAAAGAGCCUGGCAUUUUCACUUCGCGCCAAGCCCUGCAAAUUAUUCAGCUGGUCCUGUGGGCCAGGUCAGUGGCUCCCCAGGAUCCCUGAGGCUGUUCUAUGGACUAAGGGACCCAAAGCCUACAGGUGUGGAAACAGUGGGUUCACUGUGAACAGUAUGGAAACAGCUGUGUUAAAAAAAAAUCUCCAAGUCUUUAGUGUGCCGAUGUGCUUUGUAGCCGUCCAGGAAAGGGGUGUGAGAGUCGUCUCCAAACUUCCUUGGCCACAAAACCCCUUUCUUUGUUCAAAAGCGUGUAGUAUAACAAGUAUCACAUAGACUGAUGCUGGGGGAUGAUGGCCUUGCUGUUUGCUGAGGUGUCUGUGAACUCUGCGACCUUUACCUUUUAUUACAGCGAGUUUAUGUGCAGAGUGGAAUUGGGGGGCGGGAAGGAAAGCCGCAGUUAAGAGUGAGGAUGGUGCUACUCGCUGACCCAGGACUCUGCUACAAGGAAGACUUAGGCUCCUCCAGGCUCAAGCAAGCCCACACGGACCCCCUGGACCCCCGUUUUCCUCCUCUGAAUCUUCGCUUAUGUUGCUUUGUCUCCUUACACGCUCUGUGCUACUUCAAUCCACUGAUUCUUGUCGUUUCUUUUUCUAAAAUGUAUUCCAAAUUUAUCUACCCAUCUCCCAGCUUCACCCUGCUAUAAAGCACGGUGCCCCAAAGAGACUGCCACUGCAGUCUGCUUACCCCCCGAGCUCCAGCCCAUUCUCCACGCGGUGCUCCGUCCCGGCUUUCUUUUCAAAGUGUAAACUGGCUUCACACCACCGCUUGGCUUGAAGCCCUUCAAAAGUCUUUCUACAGUUGGGAGAAAAUCCAGAUUCCUUCUCAUGAUCAAUGCCUUGCAAGCCCACCUACUUCUCCAGCUCCUUCUCAAGCUGCCUGGCGCUUGAGUCCUUCUUGAUAAUCCCCAAUUUUCUCUUUAAGAACUUUUCACUUGGGCCCACAGGAUUUUGUUCAUUCCAAUCCCCACUUUUCAAAUGGCUGGUUCUUCCUCGUGCCUCAGAUCUCCACUGAAACUCUCGAAGACGUCCCCUGCCUUUUGCCAAAGCAGGACCCUGCCCUGCCCCCAGCGCCACCCAGCCUGGUGAUGCAGUCAGCGCCUUCUGCUCUUCAGUCCCCAUAUCUGUAGCAAGCUUUUUUAAAGGAACAUCUGUACUGUUCUUGGAGAAGGCAAUGGCAAUCCACUCCAGGAUUCUUGCCCAGAGAAUCCCGUGGACAGAGGAGCCUGUCACAGAUGGGCUACAGUCCAUGGGUCACAGAGUUGGACACGACUGAGAGACUGAGCGUGCUCACACACCUCACUGUUCUCCAUAGUGGUCGUGCCAGUUUACAUCGGG